UCGAAAAAUAUCGAAUCCUAGUAGGCUAGGCGUAUAAUUUUGGCAUGUUUCACAUUCGGCCUAUAAAAAGCAUCAGUAUUCACUUUUCAUUCGGACAGACGACAUCAAAAUUUUUUCUCCAGCUCCCAUUUAUUGCUUAACUAAAUUCUUUGAUUCAACAUGUGCGGACCCUGUGGCUGUGGACCCUGUGGACCUUGCGGUCCCUGCUGUGGACCUUGCGGUCCUUGCUGUGGACCCUGCGGGCCUUGCGGACCUUGCUGUGGCCCAUGCGGACCAUGUUGUGGGCCUUGUGGACCCUGCUGCGGACCGUGUGGCAAGAGGAACGGCCUUCAAUGCCCCUGAAACAUUGCCCCUGGCCACCAAAAUCUUCUCAAGAAUUGUUGAGUAAUGUUUGUGGAGGAUAGAGACAACUUCUAAAGAUAAACAGUCUUCAAUAAAAGGGAAUACUACAAAAAUA